AAAUAAGAUGAAUGUGUGUGUUUUUUUUUAAUGAUGGCUUUUUUUAAGAUUCAGGAUGCCUUUGGUGUGGCGAGUGCUGGUCAUCACCCUACUGGAGACCCAGGAGCUCUUUGACAUCUGGCAAUACUUCCCUCGGGACACGCUUGAACGCUUGCUAAUUCGUUCUGCAGUGGAACGUGGCCCCACGAGGGCCUGCCUGGUUGUCUGAAGCCCCACUGCUGACCUGCUCAUCCCACAGUGCUGCUUUUUCAGCAGUUCAGCAGCAAAGGUCCCUCAGAGGCUCUCCCCUCUCCCAGGGUCCUUCCACGUGACCAGGGCCUGGGCUGAAGUGAGAUGAUAAACCAGAGACUCAGCUUACCGCCCAGGCCCCUGUCCCUGGCACCCUCUCUGAGGUCCUGCCAGCUGCUCCUAGAACCACCGGCGCUUCCUUGAGGGCAGAGGCAGCUGUCCCAGGUGUCCUCAGCCUCUGCCCGCUAUUGGAACGCACCUGUCCCAAGGCCCCGAGGAUGAGGAUAAAGUAAUAGACAGUAAAAUGACCAGACAGUCAGGAUGAUGGGCCCCGUCCAACCAUCCUGGAGGCUAACUGGGAGACACAUUCCCGAGCACCUCCAAGGCCUGCUUCAGAGGAGAUCUGGUGCACUCAGGGUGACACACUGCCUAGAUCCCAAGGCCUGUUCCAGAUGUAAAAGACUCUGAGGCUCACCUUCGGGAACACCUCCAGCCAACUCCUCUGUCCCAGAGGUAGAAAAGGGAAAGUGGGGGUGAACCCAGAUGGGAGGAGGUUGGGUACAGAACGGAGGGUGGAGGUGAACCUGGGUGGUGUCAGGGUGCCUUGUCAACACCUGCUAAACACGGCUUUUGCUCCAUGCUCUGCCCAGAACCGUACACCACCUCCUAAGCUGGCACUCCAAAAUGGGUCUUUCGACUUUCAGGCCCCGUCCCACAGGGCAGGAGUUCUGUUCUUGGCACUUAAAUAAACCCUGCUCCGUUU
rnacentral:lncRNA from 1 species